rnacentral:rRNA from 1 species
UACGGGGGGGGCAAGCGUUGUUCGGAAUUACUGGGCGUAAAGGGCUCGUAGGCGGCCAACUAAGUCCGACGUGAAAUCCCCAGGCUUAACCUGGGAACUGCGUCGGAUACUGGAUGGCUUGAAUUCGGGAGAGGGAUGCAGAAUUCCAGGUGUAGCGGUGAAAUGCGUAGAUAUCUGGAGGAAUACCGGUGGCGAAGGCGGCAUCCUGGACUGACAUUGACGCUGAUGAGCGAAAGCUAGGGGAGCAAACAGG